UUUUUGCGUUAGGGAUAGCGGCGGCAUCCCCGCAGCGGAGCAAGGGAUAUAGCCAAUAGCCCGCCCGACG
rnacentral:misc_RNA from 1 species